rnacentral:rRNA from 1 species
GACCAGACUCCUACGGGAGGCAGCAGUGAGGAAUAUUGGUCAAUGGUCGGGAGACUGAACCAGCCAAGCCGCGUGAGGGAUGAAGGUACAGAGUAUCGUAAACCUCUUUUGUCAGGGAACAAAGGCGGGGGCGUGUCCCCGGAUGAGUGUACCUGAAGAAAAAGCAUCGGCUAACUCUGUGCCAGCAGCCGCGGUAAUACGGAGGAUGCGAGCGUUAUCCGGAUUUACUGGGUGUAAAGGGCGAGUAGGCGGGAUUGCAAGUCAGAUGUGAAAACUAUGGGCUCAACCGAUAGAGUGCAUUUGAAACUGCAGUUCUUGAGUGAUGGAGAGGCAGGCGGAAUUCCCGGUGUAGCGGUGGAAUGCGUAGAUAUCGGGAGGAACACCAGUGGCGAAGGCGGCCUGCUGGACAUUAACUGACGCUGAGGCGCGAAAGCGUGGGUAUCGAACAGGAUUAGAUACCCUCGUAA